rnacentral:tRNA from 1 species
GGAGGGUUGGCCGAGUGGUUGAAGGCACCGGUCUUGAAAACCGGCAGGGCCGCAAGGCUCUCGUGAGUUCGAAUCUCACACCCUCCG